AUUCCGGUUGAUCCUGCCGGACCCAACCGCUAUCGGGGUAGGGCUAAGCCAUGGGAGUCGUACGCCCCCGGGUCGAAGGGGGCGUGGCGGACGGCUGAGUAACACGUGGCUAACCUACCCUCGGGACAGGGAUAACCCCGGGAAACUGGGGAUAAUCCCUGAUAGGGGAAGGGUGCUGGAACGCCCCUUCCCCGAAAGGGCCACGGGCUACCGCUCGUGGUCGCCCGAGGAUGGGGCUGCGGCCCAUCAGGUAGUUGGCGGGGUAACGGCCCGCCAAGCCUAUAACGGGUAGGGGCCCUGAUAGGGGGAGCCCCCAGUUGGGCACUGAGACAAGGGCCCAGGCCCUACGGGGCGCACCAG
rnacentral:rRNA from 1 species